UUGAGAUGAGCUCCUUGUAUCAGUGAUUGAGCUAAUCAUCAUAGAGGUAUUAAUGGUGUUUCUUGAUGGGUGGUAAAUUUUUUCUAAUAAACUUUAUUGUGUUGCUGCUGACUAGCCCUUCAGUUUAGGUGGAAACUUUUUUAUUGACAGUUUGGAUUGAGUUUUCUGAAGUUGGAAGUUCGGCUACUUGAAAGACAGCAACUUCUGCUUCCAAAAGACCAUAUCAUCAAUUAUCCCUAGUUGUUACCUGCCUCUUCAAUGUUGUAAUGAUAUGGGUGCUCUUUGAAGGUUUCUUGGGAUAAUUUUGGGUAAGGACUGAGAGUGUUGAUCAUUUUGGAUGCUGGACUUUCUUUUGUCGAAAGGAUUGAAAUCAAGGGGUCUUCAGAUGCUUUAUGGUUAUGCAUCUUGCUCAAGGAGCCAUAUCCCGUGUGGAACUAUAAUCCAGAGAAAAGUUAGACAACAUGUAAAAUAAUGGUAUUUAACUUGCCAACUAUGAUCAUCAUUUAUUGAUAGUAAAUUACUUAAUACUUACUAUUACUCUCUUCUGCCCAGUCUCAGGUUUUCAGUGUGGUGUCACGUAUAGGAGGAGAAAGUU
rnacentral:misc_RNA from 1 species